rnacentral:lncRNA from 7 species
ACUGCAGGAUGAGGAGCUGCUAUUGGUCUUCAAGCAGCAGAAAGACCUCAGCUGGAGCCUGGGACUGCAACACGGAGGGUGCUCAAGAAACAAAGGAAGGGAUUUAUUCUUCACUGAGUGAGGGCUACAACAGCACAGACUCUGAGAAUGAAUCCAACGCAUCCCAGAGGAGGAAGGGGUUAUCACCAGGCCAGGCUGUGUCCCCAGUGCAGGCUGUAUUGCGGCUGCUCGGAGGAGACGUCACCUCGCCAGGACCCGAGCUGAUUAUCUUCCCUUGGAUGCUUCAAAUGAUGGUCAGCUUUCUUGGAGAAGAGAAGGCGGUGAUUCAGAGGAUGAGGACGAGCCUGAUAGGAAUCAUCUCUAUUUUGUUCCUAAAAAGAGAACUCUUUGGCAUAGGAUGGCUGAACGCACGGGUGAGUUGGUGCCUUUUCUCCCAGAGAGGCUGUGUCUUUUACUGAUGGAUGUCCGGAAGAAUGUGAGACUUGCCCAGUGAAGAGUGCAGUGCAAAGUUGUGCUGUUGGUCUUGACAAAAGAGCAUAAUGCUUGGUGGUCCUUGAGGUUUACGUGGGAUGUUCCUGCUCUCCACACACUGACAUUACGACUGUUAUGCGAAAGGGGUAAAAACAAACCAACAACAAAACACAACCAACCAGAGCCAGCCAGCCCUUUGGAAGUAAGCAGACUUACUGCAUGCCAAGCGUAUGUGGCUUUUCGGUUGCUCCUUAACUCAUCUUGCUGUUUGCAGUUUCAUUUACAAAGCACUGAUCUGCCAGGCUUGUAGGACAAUUGCUUUAUUGUUUGGAUAAUGGUUGUAAGUAAUACGCAGGUAUGGUCCGACUCUAUUGUUGGAGUAAAUGGUAUAG